UUGUAGCUGUCUGACUUCUCCUGGAUAUAGGCUUUAGAAGAUUCUAUUCUGCUGGCCAGUGGAACAGAGUCAGUAGAAAAUGACACCUUCAAAACUCUGAGUACUUUGAAGACCUUAGAACUCUGGAAAAAUAAGUUGAGGCCCUAGUGCUCUCCCAGCCAGUCUUGAAGUGUUAAAACUAAAUGAUAACUCAAUAAAUGUCCUACAUGGAUCAGAUUUUGAAGGACUUAAGAAAUUAAAAAUCCUCAAACUUAAAAACAACCUGAUCUCUUCCCUCUCUCCCAGCACUUUCUCCUCCCUUGUCAGUUUGCAAAGUUUGAUGUUGGAUGGUAACAACGUGGAGGCUAUAGCUGGACCCCUGAUACUUCCCCAUCUGACACAUAUGAGCCUGGAGAAUAAUAAGCUACAUCUUAUACAAUAGCUUCUUCACUCUUCUGUAGUCUUUGCAAUUUCUCAGUUUCAGUGGUAACUUUCUGACUAAAGUUCCUAUCAAUCUACCCAAAUACUUGCUAUCUUUAAAGAUGGAAAGAAACCACCUCAGAACAGUAAGGUUUUGAGACACAAGACACUUGGAGAAUCUUUCCCAUCUUUACCUGUCAGAAAACUUACUCUCUUCCAUCAAUGGGGCACAGUUCCUUACCAAUUUAACUGCUCUUGAGCUGUCCCAAAACCAGCUCCAAAUAUUGCCCUUCAGACUACCAGUAAAGCUACAAAAACUUGAUUGUAGCAAUAAUCUGAUUCAGAGAGUAACAGCACAAGACUUCCAGGACCUCCAAGACUUGAAACAUUUGAUUCUGGACAACAACAUUGCUAGUUUCUUCGAAGCUGGAGCCCUGCAGAGGUGUUCUCAGCUCUCCAACCUGGCGCUGGAGCAGAAUCUGCUGUUGUCCAUACCCCUAAGGGUUUCCAUGCUUUGCAGGCUCCCAGGGACCUUAACUAGGCUGGACCUAAAAGGCAAUGUCAUCCAGAAUAUUGCUGAACGGGAGCUCAAGGACCUCAAGCAGCUUCAUGUUCUAAACCUGAGGAACAAUAAGAUCUCUGCCUUAGACCUAAAAGCCUUAGAGGGUCUGCCUCACCUCAGGCACCUGUACCUGGAUGGAAAUCCCUGGAAUUGCACCUGCAGUCUCUUAAAAGUGAGAGAAGUCCUGAUGGCCAAGGGCACAGAUGUAAGGGGAGGACAAUGUGCAGCACCAACUGAACAGCAUGGGGAGAGCUGGAUGUCUUCCAAGAAGAUCAUGAGGCAAUGUGAGCAUCACUUUCAUCUGACCGAGAAAAGCAAAGAGACCAAAAAGAAAUCAAAACCUGAAGACCCCUCCAGCAUCAGAAUCAACAUGGAUGAUGGAUGAUUAUAACUAUGAAACAGAUUAA
rnacentral:sRNA from 1 species